rnacentral:rRNA from 1 species
UUAAGCGACUAAGCGUACACGGUGGAUGCCUAGGCAGUCAGAGGCGAUGAAGGGCGUGCUAAUCUGCGAAAAGCGUCGGUAAGCUGAUAUGAAGCGUAAUAACCGACGAUACCCGAAUGGGGAAACCCAGUGCAAUUCGUUGCACUAUUGCAUGGUGAAUACAUAGCCAUGCAAGGCGAACCGGGGGAACUGAAACAUCUAAGUACCCCGAGGAAAAGAAAUCAACCGAGAUUCCCCCAGUAGCGGCGAGCGAACGGGGAAGAGCCCAGAGUCUGAAUCAGUUGGUGUGUUAGUGGAAGCGUCUGGAAAGUCGCACGGUACAGGGUGAUAGUCCCGUACACAAAAAUACACUGGCUGUGAACUCGAUGAGUAGGGCGGGACACGUGACAUCCUGUCUGAAUAUGGGGGGACCAUCCUCCAAGGCUAAAUACUCCUGACUGACCGAUAGUGAACCAGUACCGUGAGGGAAAGGCGAAAAGAACCCCGGCGAGGGGAGUGAAAUAGAACCUGAAACCGUGUACGUACAAGCAGUGGGAGCACCUUCGUGGUGUGACUGCGUACCUUUUGUAUAAUGGGUCAGCGACUUAUAUUUUGUAGCAAGGUUAACCGAAUAGGGGAGCCGUAGGGAAACCGAGUCUUAACUGGGCGUCUAGUUGCAAGGUAUAGACCCGAAACCCGGUGAUCUAGCCAUGGGCAGGUUGAAGGUUGGGUAACACUAACUGGAGGACCGAACCGACUAAUGUUGAAAAAUUAGCGGAUGACUUGUGGCUGGGGGUGAAAGGCCAAUCAAACCGGGAGAUAGCUGGUUCUCCCCGAAAGCUAUUUAGGUAGCGCCUCGUGAACUCAUCUUCGGGGGUAGAGCACUGUUUCGGCUAGGGGUCCAUCCCGGAUUACCAAACCGAUGCAAACUCCGAAUACCGAAGAAUGUUAUCACGGGAGACACACGGCGGGUGCUAACGUCCGUCGUGAAGAGGGAAACAACCCAGACCGCCAGCUAAGGUCCCAAAGUCAUGGUUAAGUGGGAAACGAUGUGGGAAGGCAUAGACAGCCAGGAUGUUGGCUUAGAAGCAGCCAUCAUUUAAAGAAAGCGUAAUAGCUCACUGGUCGAGUCGGCCUGCGCGGAAGAUGUAACGGGGCUAAACCAUGCACCGAAGCUGCGGCAGCGACGCUUAGGCGUUGUUGGGUAGGGGAGCGUUCUGUAAGCCGUUGAAGGUGGCCUGUGAGGGCUGCUGGAGGUAUCAGAAGUGCGAAUGCUGACAUAAGUAACGAUAAUGCGGGUGAAAAACCCGCACGCCGGAAGACCAAGGGUUCCUGUCCAACGUUAAUCGGGGCAGGGUGAGUCGACCCCUAAGGCGAGGCUGAAAAGCGUAGUCGAUGGGAAACAGGUUAAUAUUCCUGUACUGGGUGUGACUGCGAAGGGGGGACGGAGAAGGCUAGGCUAGCCGGGCGACGGUUGUCCCGGUUUAAGCAUGUAGGCGGAGUGACUUGGUAAAUCCGGUUGCUUAUCAACGCUGAGGUGUGAUGACGAGCCACUACGGUGGUGAAGUAGUUGAUGCCAAGCUUCCAGGAAAAGCCUCUAAGCAUCAGGUGACAUUCAAUCGUACCCCAAACCGACACAGGUGGUCAGGUAGAGAAUACUCAGGCGCUUGAGAGAACUCGGGUGAAGGAACUAGGCAAAAUGGUGCCGUAACUUCGGGAGAAGGCACGCUGGCAUUAGGUAAAGAGACUUGCUCUCGGCGCCGAAGCCAGUCGCAGAUACCAGCUGGCUGCAACUGUUUAAUAAAAACACAGCACUGUGCAAACACGAAAGUGGACGUAUACGGUGUGACGCCUGCCCGGUGCUGGAAGGUUAAUUGAUGGGGUCAGCCGCAAGGCGAAGCUCUUGAUCGAAGCCCCAGUAAACGGCGGCCGUAACUAUAACGGUCCUAAGGUAGCGAAAUUCCUUGUCGGGUAAGUUCCGACCUGCACGAAUGGCGUAAUGAUGGCCAGGCUGUCUCCACCCGAGACUCAGUGAAAUUGAACUCGCUGUGAAGAUGCAGUGUACCCGCGGCAAGACGGAAAGACCCCGUGAACCUUUACUAUAGCUUGACACUGAAUAUUGAGCUUUGAUGUGUAGGAUAGGUGGGAGGCAUCGAAGCGUGGACGCCAGUCUGCGUGGAGCCAACCUUGAAAUACCACCCUUUAAUGUUUGAUGUUCUAACUCGGCCCCAUAAUCUGGGGUGAGGACAGUGUCUGGUGGGUAGUUUGACUGGGGCGGUCUCCUCCCAAAGAGUAACGGAGGAGCACGAAGGUUAGCUAAUCACGGUCGGACAUCGUGAGGUUAGUGCAAAGGCAUAAGCUAGCUUGACUGCGAGAGUGACGGCUCGAGCAGGUACGAAAGUAGGUCUUAGUGAUCCGGUGGUUCUGAAUGGAAGGGCCAUCGCUCAACGGAUAAAAGGUACUCCGGGGAUAACAGGCUGAUACCGCCCAAGAGUUCAUAUCGACGGCGGUGUUUGGCACCUCGAUGUCGGCUCAUCACAUCCUGGGGCUGAAGUAGGUCCCAAGGGUAUGGCUGUUCGCCAUUUAAAGUGGUACGCGAGCUGGGUUUAGAACGUCGUGAGACAGUUCGGUCCCUAUCUGCCGUGGGCGUUGGAAGAUUGAGAGGGGCUGCUCCUAGUACGAGAGGACCGGAGUGGACGCAUCACUGGUGUUCGGGUUGUCAUGCCAAUGGCAUUGCCCGGUAGCUAAAUGCGGAAAAGAUAAGCGCUGAAAGCAUCUAAGCGCGAAACUUGCCUCGAGAUGAGUCUUCCCUGGGGCUUUAAGCCCCCUGAAGGAACGUUAAAGACUAUGACGUUGAUAGGCUGGGUGUGUAAGUGCAGCGAUGCAUUGAGCUAACCAGUACUAAUGAUCCGUGAGGCUUAACCUU